CCUACGGGUGGCAGCAGUGGGGAAUAUUGGACAAUGGGGGCAACCCUGAUCCAGCCAUGCCGCGUGUGUGAAGAAGGCCCUCGGGUUGUAAAGCACUUUCAGUGAGGAAGAACGCCUGGUGGUUAAUACCCAUCAGGAAAGACAUCACUCACAGAAGAAGCACCGGCUAACUCCGUGCCAGCAGCCGCGGUAAUACGGAGGGUGCGAGCGUUAAUCGGAAUUACUGGGCGUAAAGCGCGCGUAGGUGGCUUGAUAAGCCGGUUGUAAAAGCCCCGGGCUCAACCUGGGAACGGCAUCCGGAACUGUCAAGCUAGAGUGCAGGAGAGGAAGGUAGAAUUCCCGGUGUAGCGGUGAAAUGCGUAGAGAUCGGGAGGAAUACCAGUGGCGAAGGCGGCCUUCUGGACUGACACUGACACUGAGGUGCGAAAGCGUGGGUAGCAAACAGGAUUAGAUACCCUGGUAGUC
rnacentral:rRNA from 1 species